rnacentral:snoRNA from 1 species
UGGACCCUGUGAUGUCCAGCACUGGGCUUUCACAAGCUGUCCUUGGGACAUUUGACCCCAGGGUUUGAGGGCUUG